rnacentral:rRNA from 1 species
GAGUUUGAUCAUGGCUCAGAUUGAACGCUGGCGGCAGGCCUAACACAUGCAAGUCGAGCGGAUGAAGGGAGCUUGCUCCUGGAUUCAGCGGCGGACGGGUGAGUAAUGCCUAGGAAUCUGCCUGGUAGUGGGGGAUAACGUCCGGAAACGGGCGCUAAUACCGCAUACGUCCUGAGGGAGAAAGUGGGGGAUCUUCGGACCUCACGCUAUCAGACGAGCCUAGGUCGGAUUAGCUAGUUGGUGGGGUAAAGGCCUACCAAGGCGACGAUCCGUAACUGGUCUGAGAGGAUGAUCAGUCACACUGGAACUGAGACACGGUCCAGACUCCUACGGGAGGCAGCAGUGGGGAAUAUUGGACAAUGGGCGAAAGCCUGAUCCAGCCAUGCCGCGUGUGUGAAGAAGGUCUUCGGAUUGUAAAGCACUUUAAGUUGGAGGAAGGGCAGUAAGUUAAUACCUUGCUGUUUUGACGUUACCAACAGAAUAAGCACCGGCUAACUUCGUG